rnacentral:rRNA from 1 species
GACGAACGCUGGCGGCGUGCCUAAUACAUGCAAGUCGAACGCUUCUUUCCUCCCGAGUGCUUGCACUCAAUUGGAAAGAGGAGUGGCGGACGGGUGAGUAACACGUGGGUAACCUACCCAUCAGAGGGGGAUAACACUUGGAAACAGGUGCUAAUACCGCAUACAGUUUAUGCCGCAUGGCAUAAGAGUGAAAGGCGCUUUCGGGUGUCGCUGAUGGAUGGACCCGCGGUGCAUUAGCUAGUUGGUGAGGUAACGGCUCACCAAGGCCACGAUGCAUAGCCGACCUGAGAGGGUGAUCGGCCACACUGGGACUGAGACACGGCCCAGACUCCUACGGGAGGCAGCAGUAGGGAAUCUUCGGCAAUGGACGAAAGUCUGACCGAGCAACGCCGCGUGAGUGAAGAAGGUUUUCGGAUCGUAAAACUCUGUUGUUAGAGAAGAACAAGGACGUUAGUAACUGAACGUCCCCUGACGGUAUCUAACCAGAAAGCCACGGCUAACUACGUG